CCUGGCGGCGAGUGGCGAACGGGUGAGUAAUACAUCGGAACGUGCCCAAUCGUGGGGGAUAACGCAGCGAAAGCUGUGCUAAUACCGCAUACGAUCUACGGAUGAAAGCAGGGGAUCGCAAGACCUUGCGCGAAUGGAGCGGCCGAUGGCAGAUUAGGUAGUUGGUGAGGUAAAGGCUCACCAAGCCUUCGAUCUGUAGCUGGUCUGAGAGGACGACCAGCCACACUGGGACUGAGACACGGCCCAGACUCCUACGGGAGGCAGCAGUGGGGAAUUUUGGACAAUGGGCGAAAGCCUGAUCCAGCCAUGCCGCGUGCAGGAUGAAGGCCUUCGGGUUGUAAACUGCUUUUGUACGGAACGAAACGGUCUUUUCUAAUACAGAAGGCUAAUGACGGUACCGUAAGAAUAAGCACCGGCUAACUACGUGCCAGCAGCCGCGGUAAUACGUAGGGUGCAAGCGUUAAUCGGAAUUACUGGGCGUAAAGCGUGCGCAGGCGGUUAUGUAAGACAGUUGUGAAAUCCCCGGGCUCAACCUGGGAACUGCAUCUGUGACUGCAUAGCUAGAGUACGGUAGAGGGGGAUGGAAUUCCGCGUGUAGCAGUGAAAUGCGUAGAUAUGCGGAGGAACACCGAUGGCGAAGGCAAUCCCCUGGACCUGUACUGACGCUCAUGCACGAAAGCGUGGGGAGCAAACAGGAUUAGAUACCCUGGUAGUCCACGCCCUAAACGAUGUCAACUGGUUGUUGGGUCUUCACUGACUCAGUAACGAAGCUAACGCGUGAAGUUGACCGCCUG
rnacentral:rRNA from 1 species